rnacentral:rRNA from 1 species
UUUUUGAAGUUGGAUAGCCAUGCAGUCGAACGACCCGGACUAUGGCGGGGAGUGGCAGACUGCUCAGUAACACGUAGCUAACCUACCCUCAGGACGGGGAUAACCCCGGGAAACUGGGGCUAAUACCCGAUAGGUGUGGAUUCCUGGAAUGGUGCCAUGCCUAAAUGUAAGCGCAUCCAUGUUUGUGUGCACGCCCGAGAAUGGGGCUGCGGCCGAUCAGGCAGUUGGUGAGGUAACGGCUCACCAAACCUUUGACCGGUACGGGCCAUGAGAGUGGUAGCCCGGAGAUGGGCACUGAGACAAGGGCCCAGGCCCUACGGGGCGCAGCAGGCGCGAAACCUCCACAAUUCACGCAAGUGAGAUGGGGUUACCUCGAGUGCCGCCUGAAGAAGGCGGCUUUUCCAUGGUGUAAUGAGCCGUGGGAAUAAGGGGGGGGCAAGACUGGUGUCAGCCGCCGCGGUAACACCAGCCCCCCGAGUGGUGGGGAUGAUUAUUUGGCCUAAAGCGUCCGUAGCCGGCUCGGUAAAUCUCUCGUUAAAUCCAGCGUCCCAAGCGUUGGGCUGCGAGGGAGACUGCCGAGCUAGAGGGUGGGAGAGGUCAGCGGUAUUCCUGGGGUAGGGGCGAAAUCCAUUGAUCCCAGGAGGACCACCAGUGGCGAAGGCUGCUGACUAGAACACGCCUGACGGUGAGGGACGAAAGCUGGGGUAGCGAAUCGGAUUAGAUACCCGAGUAGUCCCAGCCGUAAACGAUGCAGGCUAGGUGUUGGGUCGGCCACGCGCCGCCUCAGUGCCACAGGGAAGCCAUUAAGCCUGCCGCCUGGGGGAGUACGGCCGCAAGGCUGAAACUUAAAGGAAUUGGCGGGGGAGCACCACAAGGCGUGAAGCUUGCGGUUCAAUUGGAGUCAACGCCGGG